GAUGAACGCUAGCGGCAGGCUUAAUACAUGCAAGUCGAGGGGCAGCACAGGUAGCAAUACUGGGUGGCGACCGGCAAACGGGUGCGGAACACGUACACAACUUACCUUAGAGUGGGGGAUAGCCCAGGGAAACUUGGAUUAAUACCCCAUAAAACAGGGGGCCCGCAUGGGCAUAUUGUUAAAGAUUUAUCGCUUUAAGAUGGGUGUGCGUAUGAUUAGGUAGUUGGUAGGGUAAAGGCCUACCAAGCCGACGAUCAUUAACUGGUGUGAGAGCACGACCAGUCACACGGGCACUGCGACACGGGCCCGACUCCUACGGGAGGCAGCAGUAAGGAAUAUUGGUCAAUGGACGGAAGUCUGAACCAGCCAUGCCGCGUGAAGGAUGAAGGUCCUCUGGAUUGUAAACUUCUUUUAUAGGGGGCGAAAAAGGGCCAUCCUUGGUCAACUGACGGUACCCUAUGAAUAAGCACCGGCUAACUCCGUGCCAGCCGCCGCCGUAACAC
rnacentral:rRNA from 1 species